rnacentral:lncRNA from 1 species
AGACUUACUUUGAAUUCACAUUUUUUGAAAGUUUUUGUCUCAGAAAAAAAUCUAGUGGAUAAAUGUUUGGAUUGUAGGACCAAUAUAUAGUACGAUUGUGUGGAGAUCUGGUACACCAAUAAACAAGUUAGGGGGAAUGGUGAAAAAUAUUAAAGAUAGAAAGCAUAAGAAUAUAUAGCUGAAGAAAUUUGUCGAAUUUAAGAAAAUUUAAUUGCUUCAAAAAAAAAGUCGAGCUAAUAUUCAGGAACAUAUCAAGCACUUAAAAGUUGUAUUUGAAAUUUUGAAGAAGAAUGAAUUAUUAGUGAAGUUAUCCAAGUGCAUGUUUGGUAAAUCUUCUUUUGGUUUUUAGGGCACAUUAUUUCAGGAGGAGGAGUUAAUCCAGAUCCUCAGAAGCUCCAAGCAAUGGAGGAAUGGCCUAUACCUAAAACCAUCAAACAGCUCAGAGGCUUUUUAGGCCUAACUGGAUACUACAGAAAGUUUAUAAAAUGUUUUGCAAGGAUAGCCAGCCCUAUGACAGAACUUCUUGAGAAGAAUGCAUUUCAAUGGAGUGAGGCUGCUCAGAGAAGUUUUGUAACUUUAAAGGCAGCAAUGUUAUCUGCACUUGUACUAGCAUAUCCAGAUUUCGAAAAAGAAUUUGUGGUUGAAACAGAUGCUUGCACAGUGGGAAUUGGGGCAGUACUAGCACAAAAUGAGCAUCUUAUUUGUUUUUACAGCUGCAAAUUAAUGGGGAGGAUGAGAAAUUCUUCAAUUUACGUGAAGAAAAUGUUUACUAUAAGUCAAACAGUCAGCAAGUGGAGGCAUUAUUUGUUAGGCAAACAUUUUACUAUCAGAACAGACCACAAGAGUCUGAAAAAUUUGUUAUCUCAGGUUAUUCAAACACCUGAACAACAGAUUUUUCUUUGCAAGCUCCUGUGAUUUAAUUACACUAUUGAAUACAGACCGGGCAGGGAGAAUAAUGCAGCAGAUGCACUAUCAAGAGUAAUGGAAGAAGAAGAUAUUCUGGUCAAAGAAGGAUCAAUUUUAACACUUUCAGUCCCAAUGAUGGAUAUAUUAUCAGAAUUAAGAAGAGAGAAUGCCAAUAAUUCAUUUCUACUUAAGAUGAGACUUAGAAUAUCUGAAAAUGAGAUACCUACUAGAUAUUCUAUAAUUAAUGAAUGUGUGAUGUUUAAGCAAAGAUUUAUAGUUUCCCCAGGAUCAGAAUUAAUUGAAAAGAUUUUAUUAGAAUUCCAUGCAUCAGUGAUUGGGGGCCAUUCAGGAGCUGCUAGAACCAUCAAAAGGAUUUCGAAAUUUUUUUUGUGGCCAAGAAUGAACAAACUAAUUACUGAAUAUGUUAGUAAGUGUUUAAUUUGCCAACAAGUCAAGAGUUCUACCAAAAACCUAUGGGACUCCUAAUGCCUCUCACUAUUUCUAAGGCAGUUUGGGAAGACAUAUCAGUAGAUUUCAUCACAGGAUUACCAACAGUCCAAGGAAAGUCAGUUAUCAUUGUGAUGGUGGAUAGACUCAGUAAAUUCAGUCAUUUUGGGGCACUAAAAUCUUCUUAUACAGCUUCAUCAGUGGCAGACUACUUUAUCAACAGUAUAAUCAGAUUACAUGGAUAUCCUAAAUCUAUAACUUCUGAUAGAGACAAAGUGUUUACCAGCAAGUUCUGGAAAGAGUUAAAUAGAUUGAAUGGUACAAAACUCAAUAUGUCUUCCGCCUAUCAUCCUCAAACAGAUGGACAGACUGAGGUGGUGAAUAGAUGUUUAGAAGCUUAUUUAAGAGCAAUGGUACAUGAUUCUCCUAAGAAGUGGUUGAAAAUUCUGCCCUGGGCAGAACUAUGGCAUAAUUCUAAUUACAAUGCUUCUAUAAGAAUGACUCCUUUUAUGGCUUUGUAUGGCAGGGAAGCCCCAUUACUUCCAGGAUUUUCUUUGGGCAAAACACCAGUAGAUGCAGUUGAACAAGACUUGGUGCAGAAGGAAAUUAUAAUACAAAUUAAAUCUAAAAAAAAUUUACAAAAGGCACAAGAAAACAUGAAAAAGCAAGCUGAUAAGGGGAGGAGAGACUUUACAUUAAAUGAAGGAGAGUGGGUACUAUUGAAACUUCAAACUCACAGGCAGGUGACACUCGCAAGCAAUUUAAAUAAUAAACUCAAACAGAAGUAUUAUGGUCCAUUCCAGGUAAUUAAGAAAAUCAGUGAGGUGGCAUUUACACUUAAAUUAUCUGAGAAUUGCAAAAUCCAUCCUACUUUAAUUUCAUAUUUCAAAGCUCAAGGUAUUUAAAGGUGAUGUUCCUGAUCCUCAAUCAAUUUAUUUACCACCAUUAUCAGUAAACAAUAAUCUUGUAUCAGUACCCAUUUCCAUAAUUGAUAGAAAAAUAAUUAUGAGACAAAAGCAGAAAAUUAAACAGGUAUUAGUUCAGUGGGAAGCUUCUCCAUUAGAGGAUUGUACCUGGGAGGAUUUUUCAACUAUCAAUAAACUUCUUCCAUCAUUGCAACUUGAGGACAAGUUGUCUUUCGAGGGGGAAUGUUAUGAUAAGUACAUAUUUCCUACUGAAUUGGUAAUUUCAGAUGUUGGCAGAUUAUUACCUAAUUAAGGAUGAUCAAAAUGAGAUAGUCGAGGUAGAAGCCUUGCAGUCGGAGGAAGAAACACUAGAGAUAUCUGAGGAAGAGGACCGCGAAGAUCCGAUUAUGGCUGAGGGAUCCGCGCUGAGUGAUGAAGAGGCAGAAUUUCAGAUUGGGACAGAGUCCGAUAUACAGGUUGAGGAAUCCGCGUCUGAAGAAGAGAAAGAGAAAGAAGAAUUGAAAGAUGAGCAUACAGAAGUUAAAGAAAUAGAGAAAAGGAAGAAGUCAGAAAGAAUAAAGAAGUGUCC